rnacentral:rRNA from 1 species
GACAAACGCUGGCGGCGUGCUUAACACAUGCAAGUCGAACGGUACUCCUACGGGAGUAUAGUGGCGGACGGGUGAGUAACACGUAGCUAAUCUACCCUGAUGUGGGGAAUAACCCCUCGAAAGAGGAGCUAAGACCGCAUAAGUUCUCUCUUGUUAGAGAGAGAAGAAACUUUGGCAGUGAAAAGCCAGAGGCGUUAGGAUGAGGCUGCGGCGGAUUAGCUAGAUGGUGGGGUAAAGCCUACCAUGGCGACGAUCCGUAGCUGGUCUGAGAGGACGACCAGCCACACUGGGACUGAGACACGGCCCAGACUCCUACGGGAGGCAGCAGUGAGGAAUAUUCCACAAUGGGCGCAAGCCUGAUGGAGCGACGCCGC